CCGUGCAGGAAGUGAACAGAACCGUUCUGGUUAGUGUACUUGACUUGGACAACACGUUCUUUUCAGCUGGCAGACGCUUGGGGGACCGAGGAAACAGUCCAUGCAAACGCUCGCUUGAACCAAAAGGCCCAAGCACCAAACUGAGAUCAUCCAAAUACUUAUGGUGAUCAAACAGUGUUGAUUAUGUAUCUCUCUAUACGAUGUCAAUUCGUCUGCAGAACAGAAGCUUGCGCUUCGU
rnacentral:rRNA from 1 species